UGCAUUCCUGUUGGUUUACAUCAACUUAGUGAUUGUUGAAGAAGCCAAAUCCAUUGUGGGCUGGGAAGGUAUUCGGGAGCAAAUUCGCCAAUAUCAAGACCACAAACGAGCAGAACAAGACAUAGGGGAUAAGCAAACUAUUUUAGAGAAUCUCCCAGAGAAGGAGUACUUCAUAAUGAAGAUGAAUUACGAUCAGUUUACUCCAUAUAUCAGAGGGCUGUUCUUCAUCAUGACUCUCAUGAUGCAUUAAGCGAUGUGAUGCUAACAUGUACAAUUAUAUUUUUCCAUACAAUGCCACAAAAGAUUGCAGGUGGUGCUAUUGCCAUGGCCACAUGGUUUGUUACAUAUAGAGUGUGGUUUAAAUCUGAUGCAUCACCUGGUUUGCCUGGCUGUGGGUUAUUCCAAUACCAGAAUUUGAAAGAGAAAACAAAGGAGGUUCCAAUUAAAAGAAGGGGUUCUCUAUGUAAAG